CCAGAGGGCCGGGCGGCCGCGGCUCGCGCAGCGAUGUGCGGGGCGAGGAAAGUCCGGGCUCCACGAAACGACGGUGCCGGGUAACGCCCGGCGGGGGCGACCCCAGGGAAAGUGCCACAGAGAGCAGACCGCCACGGCUUUGGCCAGGCAAGGGUGAAAGGGUGCGGCAAGAGCGCACCGCGGCCCCGGCAACGGGGACGGCACGGCAAACCCCACCGGGAGCAAGACCGAAUAGGGACGGCAUAUGGGCCUCGUUUCGGCCCGUCGUCCGGGUUGGUUGCUGGAUCGCGGGCGCAAGUCCGCGACUAGAGGAAUGGUCGCCCAUCUGGCCGCGCCCUAUUGGGAGCGGCCGGUGGACAGAACCCGGCUUACAGGCCCUCUGGCAUU
rnacentral:RNase_P_RNA from 1 species